rnacentral:rRNA from 1 species
AGCUAAGUUUGGCAGGGAUAAGUGCUGAAAGCAUCUAAGCACGAAGCCCCCCUCAAGAUAAGAUUUCCCACUGGGUAACCAGGUAAGACACCUGAGAGAACAUCAGGUAGAUAGGCCGGAGGUGUAAGGGCAGUAAUGUCUGUAGCUGACCGGUACUAAUAAGUCGAGGGCUUGAUCUAAAA